rnacentral:lncRNA from 1 species
CCCAAUGAAAUUUAUGGAAAACCUAUCUUAAGAGUGUGGAGCUUCCGCUUGUGGUCUUUCCAACCUAAGAUUAUUUUAAUGUGAAGCAUGAAAUACUAAAAGGUGAGUUCCCCACAAAAUUAAGAGUAAGUCAACAAGCUAACAAAUAACGAACACGCCCACAAACACAUAAAGAAAUACGAACUUGUUAGAAAAAGGGAGAGUUCUUUGCUAAGUCUUGAAUAAC